rnacentral:lncRNA from 1 species
AUGAGAGGAGUUCCUUGGAUUGUGAUGUCUGAGGUAUAUAAAAUUUGCAACAUUUACUCAUCUAACUGUCCGUAAUCGAUCAUGUCACCGGUUUGAAUAAAUUUCCAUCUGCUGCAGAUAUUCGCUAUAAAUAUUGAAGGGCAGGCUAGAAGCUUUGCAACUUUAGUGAACUGGCUUGGUGCAUGGUUGUGUUCCUACACUUUCAACUUUCUUAUGAUCAGUUGGAGCUCCUAUGGUAAAUACCUUUUCCUUUUCUUAUUAUAAAAACUAGAGAGUAAUAUUUAGUAGAGUUAAAAGCAAAUCUGAUUAUACAUGGUAAUAACUCAUUACAUGUCUCUAUUUUCAGGUACCUUCAUUCUGUAUGCAGCCAUCAAUGCUCUGGCUAUAUUGUUCGUGAUCUUGAUGGUACCGGAAACAAAAGGGAAAACCCUGGAACAAAUCCAAGGAGACAUUAAUAAAUAG